rnacentral:rRNA from 1 species
AUACCGCAUACGACCUACGGGUGAAAGCGGGGGAUCGCAAGACCUCGCGCUAUUGGAGCGGCCGAUAUCAGAUUAGCUUGUUGGUGGGGUAAAAGCCCACCAAGGCGACGAUCUGUAGCUGGUCUGAGAGGACGACCAGCCACACUGGGACUGAGACACGGCCCAGACUCCUACGGGAGGCAGCAGUGGGGAAUUUUGGACAAUGGACGCAAGUCUGAUCCAGCCAUGCCGCGUGCGGGAAGAAGGCCUUCGGGUUGUAAACCGCUUUUGUCAGGGAAGAAAAGUCUCGGGAUAAUACCUUGGGAUGAUGACGGUACCUGAAGAAUAAGCACCGGCUAACUACGUGCCAGCAGCCGCGGUAAUACGUAGGGUGCAAGCGUUAAUCGGAAUUACUGGGCGUAAAGCGUGCGCAGGCGGUUCUAUAAGACAGAUGUGAAAUCCCCGGGCUCAACCUGGGAACUGCAUUUGUGACUGUAGAGCUCGAGUACGGCAGAGGGGGAUGGAAUUCCGCGUGUAGCAGUGAAAUGCGUAGAUCUGCGGAGGAGCACCGAUGGCGA